rnacentral:misc_RNA from 1 species
UACGUAGGGGGCAAGCGUUGUCCGGAAUUAUUGGGCGUAAAGCGCGCGUAGGCGGUCCUUUAAGUCUGAUGUGAAAGCCCACGGCUUAACCGUGGAGGGUCAUUGGAAACUGGAGGACUUGAGUGCAGAAGAGGAGAGUGGAAUUCCACGUGUAGCGGUGAAAUGCGUAGAGAUGUGGAGGAACACCAGUGGCGAAGGCGACUCUUUGGCCUAUAACUGACGCUGAGGCGCGAAAGCGUGGGGAGCAAACAGG